rnacentral:piRNA from 1 species
UCCAUUAGAUUCAAGUAGUCUUUCAGGGUU